GACGAACGCUGGCGGCGUGCUUAACACAUGCAAGUCGAACGAUGAAAGAGGAGCUUGCUCCUCUGGAUUAGUGGCGAACGGGUGAGUAACACGUGAGCAAUCUGCCUCUGACUCCGGAAUAACUACGGGAAACUGUAGCUAAUACCGGAUAUGCGCCGAACAGGCAUCUGUAUCGGUGGGAAAGAAUUUCGGUCAGGGAUGAGCUCGCGGCCUAUCAGCUUGUUGGUGAGGUAACGGCUCACCAAGGCGACGACGGGUAGCCGGCCUGAGAGGGAGACCGGCACCAUGGGGCCGAGGACAGGACCCGGAGUCAGACGGGAGCAAGCGGGGAGAGAAAUGGAGAAGUGGGCGGAGGCCUGAUGCAGAAACGCCGGGUGGGGGAGAACGGCCGUCGGGUUGUAAACCGCUUUUAGCAGGGAGGAAGGGAAAGUGACGGUACCUGAAGAGAAAGCCCCGGCUAACUACGUG
rnacentral:rRNA from 1 species